rnacentral:tRNA from 1 species
GCAUCCAUAGCUCAGUUGGAUAGAGCAGCGGCCUUCGAAGUCGCGUGUCAGGGGUUCGAGUCCCUUUGGGUGCACCA